rnacentral:rRNA from 1 species
GAUGAACGCUGGCGGCGGGCCUAACACAUGCAAGUCGAACGGUAAGAGGAAGCAGUUUGCUGCUUUGCGGGAGAGGGGCGGGCGGGUGAGACAUGUGUAGGAACCUCCUUGAUGGCGGGGAAAACCUAGUGAAACCGGUGGCUAAUCCCGAAAAGCGUCUGAAGCACAUAGAGGGGUAGCUAAGGGCGGCUUGCCUGGGGCUGAUCGCAGGCGGUAUUAGCUAGUAGGUGGGGUAACGGGUCACCUAGUAGAAGAGCCGUAGCUGGUCUGAGAGGAUGAUGGGCCACACUGGAACUGAGACACGGUCCAGACUCCUACGGGAGGCAGCAGUGGGGAAUAUUGCGCAAUGGGCGCAAGCCUGAUGCAGCCAUGCCGCGUGUGUGAAGAAGGCCUUCGGAUCGUAAAGUACUUUCAGCGGGGAGGAAGGGAUUUAAGUUAAGACCUGUGCUCAUUGACGGUACCCGCUGAAGAAGCACCGGCUAACUACGUG